UGCUGAUAUACAUUUGCUAUCAAAAUGCAAUUACCUUGUGUGUACGUUUUCCUCACAGGUUUGUCGCGUUGCUUACGAACUAAUGCAAACCUUACAUCCUGAUGCUUCAAACUACUUCCAUUCGCUUGAUGAUGUUUAUUACUGCGGUGGGCAAACCGCUCAUGAACAAACAGCUGUGUUAGAUCAUGCCCCGAAACCUGGGAGCCAGGAGAUUGAACUGAGGAUUGGAGACGUAGUCGUACUGUCGGGCAACCACUGGGAUGGCUAUUCUAAAGGAACGAACAGACGUACUAAAAAAACAGGACUGUAUCCGUCAUACAAAGUCAAUGAGAAGAUCCCAUUGCUCAAAUACCUUACUUAUCCAGAGGCAGAUAGUUACAAGGGCGAAGGAAAUACAUAAGAAGCGAUAAGGAGCUUGUUUUGGUUAAGCCGAUUAAGUCCAGCGGUUCGUUAUCGGUGUAGAGGUAGCCAUCAUGUUAGUAGCUCAUAGUAGACGACCAAAGAGCUUCAAUUAAAGCCACCUUUUUUAGACUAAGGUGUAAUCCACUCUUGGUAAAUCACCAAGGCGAUUGGAAGCUUGUUUAAAAGGAUAAGACUAGUAGGUUAGCUGACUGCUUGCUGAUUGAACUGCACUUGCGCCUUUGCCGUUGGAUCGUGUUAUGUUUGCUUCUUAAAUACUGUGCAAAAGUUGAACAAAGCUAAAGCUAAAAAAUGUUGUCUCGUCCCAUGGAGGACCAAACUUGUUUUAUUAUAAACGAUUUUAUUUUUUUAGUAUGAAAUAUCUAUUUCUAUAUUUUAUUUUAAAUUAUUUUAAGGCCCCAUUUCCAAGUUGAAAACUCCUACUUAAUUUUACAAUUUUUUUGCAGCCUAAACCUGAGAAAUGAGCCAACUCUUAACUAUAUCUUAAGUCCUAUGGCAUUCCACCCUGCAGAGUAGAAUAACACAGCUUGAACAGAUUUUUUACAUUUAUUGUUGUGUUUAUUUUUUUAACUGUUGUACAUUGUAAAUAAUAAGAAUACAGUGCAAUGAGUAUUUUA